CCCUUAGAUGUUCUGGGCAGCACGCGCGCUACAAUGGUCUUCGCAAACGGAUGCAUUCUCGAAGGAGAAUGCCAAUCUUGGAAUCUAUGCCUUGGUCGGGACAGUUGCUUGCAAUUUUUCGACUCGAACCAGGAAUUCCUUGUAAUCGUGAUUCAUCACAUCACGAUGAAUAAGUCCCUGCCCUUUGUACACACCGCCCGUCGCUCCUACCGAUCGAAGAGUUAGGUGAAUUGUUUUGAUCGAUAAGAUUUGACUAUGGUCAACUCUCGUUGUGAAAUUCUGUGAAUCUGACUGUUUAGAGGAAGGAAAAGUCGUAACA
rnacentral:rRNA from 1 species